rnacentral:rRNA from 1 species
GUGGGGAAUUUUGGACAAUGGGCGCAAGCCUGAUCCAGCAAUGCCGCGUGCAGGAAGAAGGCCUUCGGGUUGUAAACUGCUUUUGUACGGAACGAAACGGUCCGGGUUAAUACCCUGGGCUAAUGACGGUACCGUAAGAAUAAGCACCGGCUAACUACGUGCCAGCAGCCGCGGUAAUACGUAGGGUGCAAGCGUUAAUCGGAAUUACUGGGCGUAAAGCGUGCGCAGGCGGUUUUGUAAGACAGGCGUGAAAUCCCCGGGCUCAACCUGGGAAUUGCGCUUGUGACUGCAAGGCUGGAGUGCGGCAGAGGGGGAUGGAAUUCCGCGUGUAGCAGUGAAAUGCGUAGAUAUGCGGAGGAACACCGAUGGCGAAGGCAAUCCCCUGGGCCUGCACUGACGCUCAUGCACGAAAGCGUGGGGAGCAAAUGGGAUUAGAAACCCCGGUAGUCC